rnacentral:rRNA from 1 species
UACGUAGGUGGCAAGCGUUAUCCGGAAUUAUUGGGCGUAAAGCGCGCGCAGGUGGUUUCUUAAGUCUGAUGUGAAAGCCCACGGCUCAACCGUGGAGGGUCAUUGGAAACUGGGAGACUUGAGUGCAGAAGAGGAAAGUGGAAUUCCAUGUGUAGCGGUGAAAUGCGUAGAGACAUGGAGGAACACCAGUGGCGAAGGCGACUUUCUGGUCUGUAACUGACACUGAGGCGCGAAAGCGUGGGGAGCAAACAGG